rnacentral:lncRNA from 1 species
UUUUCCAAAUGCAUGAGGGAAUGGUUUCAACUUUCAAGUGAGGAUGCGAUGCGGAUGCCAGAAGUUGUGCAACUCCUUUAGAGUUCCAGCUCAAUUGCUCAAAUAUGCAGAGGCUACUUUAAGAGGACAGUGUGUGAGACUGUUUGCAAGUUAGUCACACUGUUCACACUUUUCAGGCUUUGACGUACGUGAGAGGCGGGAAGAGGGAAUUAGCCAUCAUUGCUAAAGAGCAAAGGCUGCCUAUGCUAUAUUCAC